rnacentral:tRNA from 1 species
CGGGGUGUAGCGCAGCCUGGUAGCGCGCUACGUUCGGGACGUAGAGGUCGUGGACGGUCCGCCGCUGCGGUUCGAAUCCCGCCACCCCGA